UGGGGAAUAUUGCACAAUGGGCGCAAGCCUGAUGCAGCCAUGCCGCGUGUAUGAAGAAGGCCUUCGGGUUGUAAAGUACUUUCAGCGAGGAGGAAGGCGGUAAGGUUAAUAACCUUAUCGAUUGACGUUACUCGCAGAAGAAGCACCGGCUAACUCCGUGCCAGCAGCCGCGGUAAUACGGAGGGGGCAAGCGUUAAUCGGAAUUACUGGGCGUAAAGCGCACGCAGGCGGUCUGUCACGUCGGAUGUGAAAUCCCCGGGCUCAACCUGGGAACUGCAUUCGAAACUGGCAGGCUAGAGUCUUGUAGAGGGGGGUAGAAUUCCAGGUGUAGCGGUGAAAUGCGUAGAGAUCUGGAGGAAUACCGGUGGCGAAGGCGGCCCCCUGGACAAAGACUGACGCUCAGGUGCGAAAGCGUGGGGAGCAAACA
rnacentral:rRNA from 1 species